AACUUACUAUUAUAGUAUUAUCACUAAGAGGAUACUCUCUCCCAACGAAUAACACCUCUCGUUUUGGAAGGGUUCACUUAGUAGCCGAUUUUAGACAUAGCAGAACACCACCGUUACCACCUCCAACACCACCACACAAACCCACGCGCGUCGUAUUUUCAUAUUAUUAUUAUUAUUAUUAUUAUUCACUCUGCCUUUUUCUCUGUAAAACCCUAAUUAUCGAAAUCUCCCCUUUCUCUCCCUCCCUCAAAAAAUUUCAAAAAAUUCUCGCUCCCCCUCUCUCUGGAAAUUUCUCGAUCAUCUCCCUAGUCGAUCCAUCGCUCUCUAAACCCUAACUUGAAUUUCACUUGUAAUUUCUUGAGAUCUGCUGUUUAUUUUUUUAAUUGGGAAAUCUAGGGUUUUUGAUUGAUUGAUUGAUUUAGGCUGGCGGGUAAUCGGUUCAAUUAGAUGGCGGAUCCGCCAGAUAAUAUCCGCCGAUUGAUUUUAUUAUCGAUGAUAGUGUUACAGUGUGAUUAGGAAAGUGAAGUGUAACAAAAAAAACUUUGAAGAAGAAAAUAAAAGCAUGCUGAGCGUGCUGCGUGUGCAUCUUCCAUCGGAUAUUCCUAUUGUUGGCUGUGAGUUAACGCCGUAUGUUGUUUUACGGCGACCUGAUAAGGAUUUUAUUACCGAUGAUGUGCCCGAGUCUGCCCCUCUUGACGGUCAUUUCUUGAGAUAUAAGUGGUAUCGGAUACAGAGUGAUAGAAAAGUUGCUGUAUGUAGCGUACAUCCAUCUGAGCAUGCUACACUGCAGUGUAUAGGUUGUGUUAAGGCCAAAAUACCUGUUGCCAAAAGUUACCAUUGCUCUCCCAAGUGCUUCUCUGAUGCAUGGCAGCAUCAUCGUGUUCUACAUGAUCGAGCUGCAAGUGCUGUAAAUGAAAAUGGAAAUGAGGAGGAAGAGUUGUUUGGGCGUUAUAAUAGCUCAGGAUCUGGAGUUCUUAAUACUAGUUUAUCUGGUUCUGCAUCAAGUGCUAGCUUGACAAAUGGUUCCACGCCUUUGUAUCCUGCGGCGGUGACACAGAGGAGUGGUGAAACUUGGUUUGAGGUUGGGCGUUCCAAAAUAUAUACACCAUCAGCUGAUGAUAUUGGCCAUGUUCUCAAGUUUGAAUGCGUUGUGGUAGAUGCAGAAACUAAAUUACCUGUAGGACAUCCAAACACACUAUUAACUUCCCGUGUCAUUCCAGCCCCCUCCCCAACUCCACGUCGUUUGAUCCCAGUUAGUGGACUUGAUGCAAUGGUGCCUUUAGAUUUGGAUGGUCGUAUCUCAUCAACUGGAACCUUUACUGUGCUCUCAUACAACAUUUUAUCUGAUGUGUAUGCUACAAAUGAAACAUACAGUUAUUGUCCUUCAUGGGCUCUUUCUUGGCCAUAUCGUCGACAGAACUUACUGAGGGAAAUAGUUGGCUAUCGUGCAGACAUUGUUUGUCUUCAGGAGGUACAAAGUGAUCAUUAUGAGGAAUUUUUCGCCCCUGAGCUGGACAAGCAUGGUUAUCAAGCCCUAUAUAAGAGAAAAACUAACGAGGUCUAUGCUGGAAAUACCCAUACAAUUGAUGGUUGUGCAACAUUUUUCCGCAGAGAUAGAUUUUCACAUGUUAAAAAAUAUGAGGUUGAAUUUAAUAAGGCUGCUCAGUCUUUGACUGAUGCGCUGGUUCCAAGUGCUCAAAGAAAAACUGCUCUAAAUCGAUUAGUUAAGGAUAAUGUUGCAUUAAUAGUUGUUCUGGAAGCAAAAUUUAGUAAUCAAGGAGUUGAUAAUCCUGGGAAGCGGCAGCUACUUUGUGUUGCAAAUACACAUAUAAAUGUUCAGCAGGAUUUAAAGGAUGUCAAGCUUUGGCAGGUCCUUACUCUCUUGAAAGGAUUGGAGAAAAUAGCUGCUAGUGCUGACAUUCCUAUGUUGGUGUGUGGAGAUUUCAAUUCAGUUCCUGGAAGUGCUCCUCAUUCUCUUCUUGCAAUGGGUAAGGUGGAUCCAUUGCAUCCGGAUUUAGUAGUAGACCCUCUUGGAAUCUUACGGCCUCACAACAAGCUUACACAUCAGUUGCCGCUGGUCAGUGCAUACUCAUCUUUUGCAAGAGUGGGCGUUGGUCUUGGUUCAGAUCAGCAGAGGAGGAGAAUGGACGCUACAACAAAUGAACCCUUAUUUACGAAUUGCACUAGAGACUUUAUCGGUGCUCUAGAUUAUAUAUUUUACACAGCCGACUCUUUAAUGGUGGAGUCUUUGUUGGAACUAUUGGAUGAGGAAAGCUUGAGGAAAGACACAGCCCUUCCUUCUCCAGAGUGGUCUUCAGAUCAUAUAGCACUUCUUGCUGAAUUUCGUUGCAAGAAUAGACCAAGACGUUGACACUACAGGAUUAGAGAUCCCAAGGCAAUGACCUGCAGAUAUGGAUCGAUUUAAGCUAUUUUUUCAGCUUCAGGAGUAGAAAGAUUUGGGGCAUCCCACUGUUCUCAUUUUGGAAUUUCAUUAGAUGGAGUCACCGGCCGGACACCUUAACUGGAAAAAACGCACAGAUGAAGUGCCUGAGUCCUUGAUGAGCUCGGUAAUCACCGUUUCUCCAAGGAAAAAAGAAUGUGGUUAUGUAACCAGUCAGUGGAGAAUUGAGGAAAUUUGAAGGAUAAUAUAGAAUCUUCAUUACUCGCAGCUGUAAAACAAAAGGUAUCCUUAAAAGGAAUGAAAUUCCGUGAGUACCACUAAAAGGAGAGAACUGUUUGGUUCUUAAAAAAUACAUUUAUGGAUAAUAUAUAGUUAUUAUGCAAGAA